AAUAAUUAUUUUAAGUUGGCAGAAUUAUAAACUUUUUGCGGCUACAAUACUGUUAAACUUCUACAGGCCAACAUUAUUUACGUUAAAUGAUGAACAGUUUACCUCAAACGGCCAACCUACGUUACGUGACUCGCAUAAUCGUGUUAAGGUAUCUGAGACGACAGAUUAAUACAGUUUUAUUAAGUUUCAGACAGUUACAGAUGGCUGAAAUAUGCGAAUACCUGUGAAAAUAGAGGAAAAAGUUGUUUCUGACACUGAAAAACGAAUUUAACAUUUAAGUGAGUGAAAUGAGUUCAAAAAGCGAAUACGACUUUCUGCUCUAAUGUAAACGCCUGCAGUUGUCCAUAUCGACAUGUAAAUCAUACAAUUACGUACGAUAUAGUCGGACCGCAGGUCUAAAAGAACCGACGAUCCGGUUCAAAUAAACCGGUUCAGUAAUUCUCGAACAAAGUGAUUCCCGGAAAAGAAUCGGCGUCUCUUCAAAGUGCGCGCACGCACAGCGAGGGCCGCGUUAGUGAGAAAAGCACAUGGAUACAUUUGUGAGAGAAAAACUCGUCAAAUGCAGUCUUAUUGAGGCGUCUAAAGGUCUGAACAAACCUGGAAUUCCUUAACCGAACAGAGUCCACAAAACCCCAUCCAAUUGUUGUGGCGAUUUAAAAAUGCCAGCAGAUCUCUUAGGCAUUAUCAUAAUCAAUGGACAGGUCACCGUAGCCACGAGAUCCAGUCUGUGUCCAGAUCAGAGGGUCACUGCAGUCACCCGUAUCCAGUACGUAUCCAGACCAGAUGGUGGAUCAGCACCUAGAAAGGACCUCUACUGCCCAGAAAGACAGCGGAGACCAGGACAACUAGAGCCCCAGAUACAGAUCCCCUGUAAAUACCUUGUCUCAGAGGACCACCAGGACAAGACCACAGGAAACAGAUGAUUCUUCUGCACAAUCUGACUUUGCUGCAGC